CCUUGUGGAGGAGGACGCCGAAGGUGGGGCUAAUGACUGGGGUGAAGUCGUAACAAGGUAGCCGUACCGGAAGGUGCGGCUGGAUCACCUCCUAACAGGGAGACAACAAAAUGUUUAAUAUUAUUAUUUUGUCACCUUAGGUCGAUCGGUAUCUCACGUUUUUAAUUUAUUAAGAAUUUCUUUCCUAAGUUUUUCUAGGUCACACCCAUUAUUUUUCCUGGGCCAUUAGCUCAGGUGGUUAGAGCGCACCCCUGAUAAGGGUGAGGUCCCUGGUUCAAGUCCAGGAUGGCCCAUAUCUCUAUGUUGGGGGUAUAGCUCAGUUGGUAGAGCGCCUGCUUUGCAAGCAGGAUGUCAGCGGUUCGAGUCCGCUUACCUCCACUGAUUACCACCUCUUCCAUAUCCGGUAAAAAGGAAAUGUUCUGAGUUGUGAUCAAAUUCUGAAAGAAUCUAGCUUCCUAAUGAAAUCAUUAAGAUGCUGGACUCAUUGAAUUAAUUUCAUUGUUUUCAGAGAACCUUGACAACUGCAUAGAUUAUUUUUAAAGACAAUAAGCAUCUUUAAUGAUGCAGAUUUAUUAUUUGUGCGAAUGCAUUAAUAACAAUUCUAUUAAGCUGAUGCUUCAAUUUUUGAAGUUAUUGGUCAAGCUACAAAGGGCUCACGGAGGAUACCUAGGCA
rnacentral:misc_RNA from 1 species